CACCUAUUUCCACGAAGUAGUAUAAGGAGACGUAACGCCAUGCAUUCAAAGCAACCCCAAAUGCGUGUCCUAGAGUUACUAAGGUUUUCGAAUAAUGCUCUUGUAGCGCCUCUACUGAGAUAAAUCGGAAUCAAAAUAUGUCGUCUGCUAUCGCGUAAACAACUGUAGUUGACAGCAAAAGUGUUUUGAUCACGAAGUGGUUUUGAUAAAAUAUUGUGUAAUAAAUAAAUAAUAAAAUAAAUAUUGUGAAAUAUUAAAUAUUAGUGAAAGUAAAUGAAAGGUUAUUCAUUAAAUAUUUGGAGAAUAAAAUAAUAAAUAUAGAAUGUAGUUGCUGAAGCCAAAUGUGGAUUUUACAACAUUCAAUUUU